AUUGAACGCUGGCGGCAUGCCUAACACAUGCAAGUCGAACGGCAGCACAGUAAAGAUUUCGGUCUUUAUGGGUGGCGAGUGGCGGACGGGUGAGUAAUGCGUAGGAAUCUGUCCUGGAGAGUAGGAUAACCCGAGGAAACUCGGGCUAAUACUGCAUGAUAUCGAGAGAUCAAAGGCAGGGGACCCUUCGGGGCCUUGCGCUCUAGGAUGAGCCUACGUCGGAUUAGCUAGUUGGUGGGGUAAAGGCCUACCAAGGCGACGAUCCGUAGCUGGUCUGAGAGGAUGACCAGCCACACUGGGACGGGGACACGGCCCAGACUCCUACGGGAGGCAGCAGUGGGGAAUCUUGGACAAUGGGGGAAACCCUGAUCCAGCGAUGCCGCGUGUGUGAAGAAGGCCUUCGGGUUGUAAAGCACUUUAGUUGGGGAAGAAAAGUAAUGAGUGAAUAACUGAUUGCUCUGACGGUACCCAAAGAAUAAGCACCGGCUAACUCUGUGCCAGCCGCCGCGGUAA
rnacentral:rRNA from 1 species